UACGAAGGAUGCAAGCGUUAUCCGGAUUUAUUGGGUUUAAAGGGUGCGUAGGCGGUCUGAUAAGUCAGUUGUGAAAUUCCUCGGCUUAACCGAGUGGACUGCGAUUGAUACUGUCAGACUUGAAUCAGGUUGAGGUAGGCGGAAUGUGACAUGUAGCGGUGAAAUGCUUAGAUAUGUCAUAGAACACCGAUUGCGAAGGCAGCUUGCUGGGCUUAGAUUGACGCUGAGGCACGAAAGCGUGGGGAGCAAACAGG
rnacentral:rRNA from 1 species